rnacentral:sRNA from 1 species
CCCACCUCGGCCUCCCAAAGUGCUGGGAUUACAGGCAUGAGCCACUGCUCCCGGCCACUUAUGUAUUAGUCACUUAAUCAUUAAUAGUGCUGUUGAUAGCAACUCUUCCCAAAAUCACUUGAAGGGAAAUUGGGGUGUCUUCAUCUUCAGAAGUGGUGACCUGGCUCCCCAGCGCCUGACACCACUCCCUGCUCCCCAUGCCAGGGCCGAGCCACGUGUCCAUGCAGCAGACGGCGCCUAACACGCUGCCCACCACCUCCAUGAGCAUCUCUGGGCCCGGCUACAGCCACGCGGGACCCGCCUCGCAGGGCGUCCCCAUGCAGGGGCAAGGCACCAUCGGCAACUACGUGUCUCGGACCAACAUCAACAUGCAGUCCAACCCAGUCUCCAUGAUGCAGCAGCAGGCGGCCACGUCGCACUACAGCUCGGCGCAGGGCGGCAGCCAGCACUACCAGG